AGGGAAGAGCUCAAAUUUAAAAUCUGGCAAGCCUUGCGUUUGUCCGAAUUGUAAAUUAGAGAAGUGUUACCCGCGUUGGACCGUGUACAAGUCUCCUGGAAUGGAGCGUCAUAGAGGGUGAGAAUCCCGUCUUUGACACGGACUACCAAGGCUUUGUGGUGCGCUCUCAA
rnacentral:rRNA from 1 species